rnacentral:rRNA from 1 species
UACGUAGGGGGCUAGCGUUGUCCGGAAUCAUUGGGCGUAAAGAGCGUGUAGGCGGCUUGGUAAGUCCGCUGUGAAAGUCCAGGGCUUAACCCUGGAAAGCCAGUGGAAACUGUCAAGCUAGAGUCCGGAAGAGGUGAGUGGAACUCCUGGUGUAGCGGUGAAAUGCGCAGAUAUCAGGAAGAACACCAAUGGCGAAGGCGGCUUUCUGGUCUGUAACUGACGCUGAGGCGCGAAAGCGUGGGGAGCAAACAGG